AUGGCCGAGCAGACCUUCAUCAUGAUCAAGCCUGACGGCGUCCAGAGGGGCCUCAUCGGCGAGGUCAUCAGCCGCUUCGAGAAGAAGGGCUUCUACCUCAAAGGUCUGAAGCUCCAGAACGUGGAGAAGUCGUUCGCCGAGCAGCACUACUCUGAUCUGUCCUCCAAGCCCUUCUUCGCUGGGCUCGUGGAGUACAUCGUCUCCGGCCCGGUCGUCGCUAUGGUCUGGGAGGGCAAGAGCGUCGUCGCCACUGGACGCAAGAUCAUUGGCGCCACCAACCCCCUGGCCUCUGAGCCCGGCACCAUCCGUGGUGACUUUGCCGUCGACAUCGGCAGGAACGUCAUCCAUGGAAGCGACUCAGUUGAGAGUGCCAGGAAGGAGAUCGCCCUGUGGUUCCCUGAGGGCAUUGCAGAGUGGAGGAGCAGCCAGCACAACUGGAUCUAUGAGGCAUAA
rnacentral:rRNA from 1 species